UACGAAGGGGGCUAGCGUUGCUCGGAAUUACUGGGCGUAAAGCGCACGUAGGCGGACUAUUAAGUCAGGGGUGAAAUCCCGGGGCUCAACCCCGGAACUGCCUUUGAUACUGGUAGUCUCGAGUCCGGAAGAGGUGAGUGGAAUUCCGAGUGUAGAGGUGAAAUUCGUAGAUAUUCGGAGGAACACCAGUGGCGAAGGCGGCUCACUGGUCCGGUACUGACGCUGAGGUGCGAAAGCGUGGGGAGCAAACAGG
rnacentral:rRNA from 1 species